CUUGGUCAUUAGAGGAAGUAAAAGUNGUAACAAGGUUUCNGUAGGUGAACUUGNGGAAGGAUCAUUA
rnacentral:rRNA from 1 species